rnacentral:rRNA from 1 species
ACGAACGCUGGCGGCACGCUUAACACAUGCAAGUCGAACGGAGAAUAUCGAAGCUUGCUUUGAUAUUCUUAGUGGCGGACGGGUGAGUAACACGUGAGUAACCUGCCUCUGAGAGUGGGAUAGCUUCUGGAAACGGAUGGUAAUACCGCAUGAAAUCAUAGUAUCGCAUGGUACCAUGAUCAAAGAUUUAUCGCUCAGAGAUGGACUCGCGUCUGAUUAGCUAGUUGGUAAGGUAACGGCUUACCAAGGCGACGAUCAGUAGCCGGACUGAGAGGUUGAUCGGCCACAUUGGGACUGAGACACGGCCCAGACUCCUACGGGAGGCAGCAGUGGGGAAUAUUGCACAAUGGGGGAAACCCUGAUGCAGCGAUGCCGCGUGGAGGAAGAAGGUUUUCGGAUUGUAAACUCCUGUUGAAGAGGACGAUAAUGACGGUACUCUUUUAGAAAGCUCCGGCUAACUACGUGCCAGCAGCCGCGGUAAUACGUAGGGAGCGAGCGUUGUCCGGAAUUACUGGGUGUAAAGGGAGCGUAGGCGGGACGGCAAGUCAGAUGUGAAAACUAUGGGCUCAACCCAUAGACUGCAUUUGAAACUGUUGUUCUUGAGUGAGGUAGAGGUAAGCGGAAUUCCUGGUGUAGCGGUGAAAUGCGUAGAGAUCAGGAGGAACAUCGGUGGCGAAGGCGGCUUACUGGGCCUUUACUGACGCUGAGGCUCGAAAGCGUGGGGAGCAAACAGGAUUAGAUACCCUGGUAGUCCACACAGUAAACGAUGAAUACUCGCUGUUUGCGAUAUACAGUAAGCGGCCAAGCGAAAGCGUUAAGUAUUCCACCUGGGGAGUACGCCGGCAACGGUGAAACUCAAAGGAAUUGACGGGGGCCCGCACAAGCGGUGGAGUAUGUGGUUUAAUUCGAAGCAACGCGAAGAACCUUACCAGGUCUUGACAUCGAGUGACGUACCUAGAGAUAGGUAUUUUCUUCGGAACACAAAGACAGGUGGUGCAUGGUUGUCGUCAGCUCGUGUCGUGAGAUGUUGGGUUAAGUCCCGCAACGAGCGCAACCCUUACCAUUAGUUGCUACGCAAGAGCACUCUAAUGGGACUGCCGUUGACAAAACGGAGGAAGGUGGGGAUGACGUCAAAUCAUCAUGCCCCUUAUGACCUGGGCUACACACGUACUACAAUGGCAAUAUAACAGAGGGAAGCAAUACAGCGAUGUGGAGCAAAUCCCCAAAAAUUGUCCCAGUUCAGAUUGCAGGCUGCAACUCGCCUGCAUGAAGUCGGAAUUGCUAGUAAUCGCAGAUCAGCAUGCUGCGGUGAAUACGUUCCCGGGCCUUGUACACACCGCCCGUCACACCAUGGGAGUCGGUAACACCCAAAGCCGGUCGUCUAACCUUCGGGAGGACGCCGUCUAAGGUGGGAUUGAUGACUGGGGUG